rnacentral:tRNA from 2 species
GCCAGGAGAGCAUGGGCGGUGCAUGCACUCGACUUGUAAUCGAGACUUCGUGGGUUCAAAUCCCACUCCUGGCU